rnacentral:rRNA from 1 species
CCCUUAGAUGUUCUGGGCCGCACGCGCGCUACACUGACGAUGGCAACGAGUCUUUCCUUCGCCGAAAGGUGUGGGUAAUCUUUUGAAACAUCGUCGUGCUGGGGAUAGAUCAUUGCAAUUUUUGAUCUUGAACGAGGAAUUCCUAGUAAGCGCGAGUCAUCAGCUCGCGUUGAUUACGUCCCUGCCCUUUGUACACACCGCCCGACGCUACUACCGAUUGAAUGGUUUAGUGAGGACUCCUGAUUGGCGCCGCCGCCCCGGCAACGGAGCAGCGGACUGCCGAAAAGUUGUUCAAACUUGAUCAUUUAGAGGAAGUAAAAGUCGUAACA